rnacentral:rRNA from 1 species
AAAACGACUCUCGGCAACGGAUAUCUCGGCUCUCGCAUCGAUGAAGAACGUAGCGAAAUGCGAUACUUGGUGUGAAUUGCAGAAUCCCGUGAACCAUCGAGUCUUUGAACGCAAGUUGCGCCCAAAGCCUUCAGGCCGAGGGCACGCCUGCCUGGGUGUCAUGC